rnacentral:rRNA from 1 species
AUUGAACGCUGGCGGCAUGCCUAACACAUGCAAGUCGAACGGCAGCACAGUCGUAGCAAUACGAUGGGUGGCGAGUGGCGGACGGGUGAGGAAUGCAUCGGAAUCUGCCCGAUCGUGGGGGAUAACGCAUCGAAAGGUGCGCUAAUACCGCAUGAGAUCGAGAGAUGAAAGCGGGGGACCGCAAGGCCUCGCGCGAUCGGAUGAGCCGAUGCCGGAUUAGCUAGUUUGCGGGGUAAAGGCCCACCAAGGCGACGAUCCGUAGCUGGUCUGAGAGGAUGAUCAGCCACACUGGGACUGAGACACGGCCCAGACUCCUACGGGAGGCAGCAGUGGGGAAUAUUGGACAAUGGGCGCAAGCCUGAUCCAGCAAUGCCGCGUGUGUGAAGAAGGCCUUCGGGUUGUAAAGCACUUUUAUCGGGAGCGAAAAGCGGACGGUGAAUACCCGUCCGUGCUGACGGUACCCGAGGAAUAAGCACCGGCUAACUUCGUGCCAGCAGCCGCCGCCGUAA